CUGAUUAAUUGAAUAUAUAAUAACAACAAAUAGAUCAAAGAUGAGGUGUCGGGGGUGGGAGAUUGGUCACUUUCCACUUAUGUAUGUGUCCCCUUCUCUUACACGUUCACAUUCAUAUGAAAAGUUUAAUUGCUUUGCUAUUUUCCAUACUCUUCAAGUCUUCAUUUCCACAACCCAUGGUUUAUUUGUCUAUAUAUCUUAUCGAUUGGGCAUCACCUUUUUGUUAGCAAAAUUUCAAUGUAUUUUCUCAUUUUGUUACUUAUAUAUGCCCUUUUUCAACAAAAAAAGUCAGAUGUAUAUAAUGUUACAUGAUAAAUUUUAAAUAUUUCUCGCAAGUUUUUAAAAGUUUUUGAAAGUGCAUAUUUAUAUUAAAGAAUAUUAUUAUUCAAUGUGAUAGAAAGAUACAUAUUCACUUUUUAAAAAAGCUUAACUAGAGACUAGAGUCAGAGUCGGUCAUGGUAAAGUGAAAUAAAAUAUUAGUUUUAGGUUCAAGUUAAUAAAUAUAAAUAUAUGUUUUUAAUUAAAAAUCAUUAAAAUUUUGUUAAAAUUGUUUAUGGUUUUCAAAAUCUCAUGGUUAAUUUUGAACGCGACAAAUGGAAGUUUAAUUUGUCCAAGACAAACAAAUGAACGUUACGCGUGAUCAGGUAGGACUGGAAGUCUGGAAAUUUGAAUUCUGUGAUGCUAAAAAAUGAUUAAAAAAAAUAAUCGUAGUAAACAAGACGUUGAGCGUCAUAACAAUUAUCAAAUGUAAAAACUAGUACUAAAAACCAGAGAAAGGGCUUUUGACGAGAGUAACGAGGCUGUGUGCGUCUCUGUUCCCAAAAUCUAAAGGAAUCAAUAAAUUAAUUAAACAAUAAUGCAACACUUCUUACUAGUAUAAAUUAUUUCAGUGACAACAUUUCCCACUAAAGAGAGAUUUCAGAUCCAAAAUAAAGCUAUAUAAUAAAUUCGCCGUUAUAUAAACGGCCGGGGACUUAUUAGCCAAUGAUCUACAAAAUCGCAAAGCCCCUUUGACUUUGACAACACACAUGAGAAACAGUCCUUAAUAUUAUAGUGUUAAUAUGAAACAACUGUUAAAUAAUUGUGUCAGUGAACUAAAGGUGGUACCAUUGUGUGAAUCUAAUUAAUAUUUUAGAAUGACAUACCUUAUAAAUGUUUUAAAUCGUACAAAUGUAAUCAACAAUUUUCAUACUCUAGUUUCGUUCGUAGUGUUUUUUGGAUUAGCUCUCUCGAAUUAACCCGAAUAUACAAGAUUAUUUACAAUUUUCCGAUAUAUUUUGCUUAUUCUAUCUCUUUUUUUAAUGAAGUUUAUUUUAUCUUUCAGAACUGUUUUUGUUAGUAAACACGGUCAAAGACGGAUGAAAACAUGAAUAUGAGACCGUUUGAUAAGUGAAAACUAAAGGAAAAUACACAUUUUCUUAGAAACAUCACAAUGGUCGAGAACCUUUAAAACAAAACUCAAAACUCAUGCGGUCUAUUUCUGAUCCACCCCCAAAAGAAACUGUGCUGCUUCUAUCAAAAGACAUGGUCGAGAACCUUUGAUGCUCGAGGAAGCCAAUCUUCAGCUUCUCGUGCCUGCCUUGAAGACAUACUUGCAUUCCCUACUGCUAGUAAAAGAAAAGACAUCAACAAUUAAUAUGACAUCAACCCACAUCAGUGCUAAGUGGAUUUCAGCUAAAACAAAUAAGCAAAAAAAUUUCAUUAGUAUUUAAUUUUAUCCAAAACUAUAUAAAACAAUAAAUUUAUUUUUACAAAACACAAUGUCCCACUAAAGAAACCACUACUUAAGAAAAUCAUAACUAGGAGAAGUUUUACAAUUAGCUUUAUAUCAAAAAUAAAAUUAGGAACAUAAACUUCUUAAAUUUUAAAGACUGGCAAAAACAAUAUCAUUUGACAAAAACUUAUUAGUAAUAACAACCUAGUUUUAGUAAUAAAAGGAUAUUGGAGAAUUUGAUCUGAACUCAUUACAAUCCAAGGGCUACGAUUAAAAGAAAAGAAAAACAUAUUGGAUAAAGGUCGGCAAAGUAAAAUAAAGAAAAAAGGAAAAAAAGGGAGACUUUGGUUUAGCUCCGAAGCUUAUAUAUAAAAAGAUGGUUACCUCAUCAACAUGUUCUGCAACAUGGCUGUCGAUGAGUUUAACAAAUUUUAUUUAAGAAAUUGUUACUUAAUUAAUGCCUUGUCCGUUUAUAACAGAAUAAAAAACAGAACCUAACUUUUGUCUCUGUCCUUGUAGGGAAGAAGGUUGAGUUUGUGGAGGCUCAUAAGGCCGUUUGUCACUUUCAAGCCGGGCGGAAAUUUUACAUCACAUUCGAAGGCCGUGAAGAUAAUCAGCUGCAGCUGUACCAGGCAAUGAUCCAAUAUCAUUCCAUCAAAACAACUCAAGUUGUCUUCUACAGGCCUAAACCACCCAAGGCUAUGUAGGCGCCCUAUAUGCAACCCGGAGUCAUCUCUACACUGGUGGCUGCUGCUGGUGUUUUAUGAACUCCAUGAUUAUUACUCCCUCUUUUUUUUUUGAUAUUUUAGUAUAAACACACAAAUUUAAAAAAUAUAUAUAUUUUUAUUAAAAAUACUUGAUUACAA